GCUGGCGUAGCUUAAUUAAAGCAUAACAC
rnacentral:tRNA from 1 species